CGCCUGUUUAUCAAAAACAUGUCCCUUUUGUUUAUUUAUUUAAGGUCUGUCCUGCCCAAUGAGUGUUUUAAUGGCCGCGGUAUAUUAACCGUGCUAAGGUAGCGUAAUCAUUUGUCUUUUAAUUGUGGGCUUGUAUGAAGGGUCGAACGAGGCACAUUCUUUCUUUAUCUUGAUUUUAGAAGUUAUCUUUUUAGUCAAAAGACUAAAAUUUAUCUGUGGGACGAGAAGACCCUAUAGAUCUUUAUAUUACUUUUUAUUGAGCUUGUUUAGCAAAAUUUAUGGUUUAAUUAAUUGUAUUAUUUGAUUGGGGUGAUUACAGAGAAUCAGCAACCUCUGUUUUAGUAUUUCGUUUAUGGGCGUUUUAAUGAUCCAUUAAUGAUGAUUAUAAGAUUAAGUUACCUUAGGGAUAACAGCGUAAUCUUUCCGGAGAGUUCCUAUCGAUGGAGGGGUUUGCGACCUCGAUGUUGGAUUAAAAUAAGUAUUGGGUGAGCGAUUUAAUUACUGGGUCUGUUCGACCCUUAAUUUUUUACAUGAUCUGAGUUCAAACCGGAG
rnacentral:rRNA from 1 species